CCUACGGGAGGCAGCAGUAGGGAAUCUUCCACAAUGGACGAAAGUCUGAUGGAGCAACGCCGCGUGAGCGAUGAAGGCCUUCGGGUCGUAAAGCUCUGUUGUUAGGGAAGAACAAGUACCGGAGUAACUGCCGGUACCUUGACGGUACCUAACCAGAAAGCCACGGCUAACUACGUGCCAGCAGCCGCGGUAAUACGUAGGUGGCAAGCGUUGUCCGGAAUUAUUGGGCGUAAAGCGCGCGCAGGCGGUUCCUUAAGUCUGAUGUGAAAGCCCCCGGCUCAACCGGGGAGGGUCAUUGGAAACUGGGGAACUUGAGUGCAGAAGAGGAGAGCGGAAUUCCACGUGUAGCGGUGAAAUGCGUAGAGAUGUGGAGGAACACCAGUGGCGAAGGCGGCUCUCUGGUCUGUAACUGACGCUGAGGCGCGAAAGCGUGGGGAGCGAACAGGAUUAGAUACUCUGGUAGUCCACGCCGUAAACGAUGAGUGCUAAGUGUUAGAGGGUUUCCGCCCUUUAGUGCUGCAGCAAACGCAUUAAGCACUCCGCCUGGGGAGUACGGCCGCAAGGCUGAAACUCAAAGGAAUUGACGG
rnacentral:rRNA from 1 species